CAGUCGCCGCGGGAAUACGAAGGGUGCAAGCGUUACUCGGAAUUACUGGGCGUAAAGCGUGCGUAGGUGGUGGUUUAAGUCCGUUGUGAAAGCCCUGGGCUCAACCUGGGAAUUGCAGUGGAUACUGGGUCACUAGAGUGUGGUAGAGGAUAGUGGAAUCUCCGGUGUAGCAGUGAAAUGCGUAGAGAUCGGAAGGAACAUCUGUGGCGAAGGCAGCCCCCUGGGCCAACACUGACGCUCAUGCACGAAAGCGUGGGGAGCAAACAGGAUUAGAUACCCGCGUAGUCCCUGUCUCUUAUAC
rnacentral:rRNA from 1 species